rnacentral:rRNA from 1 species
GACGAACGCUGGCGGCGUGCUUAACACAUGCAAGUCGAACGGAAAGGCCCUGCUUGCAGGGUACUCGAGUGGCGAACGGGUGAGUAACACGUGGGUGAUCUGCCCUGCACUUCGGGAUAAGCCUGGGCAACUGGGUCUAAUACCGGAUAGGAGCCAUUUUUAGUGUGAUGGUUGGAAAGUUUUUUCGGUGUAGGAUGAGCUCGCGGCCUAUCAGCUUGUUGGUGGGGUAAUGGCCUACCAAGGCGGCGACGGGUAGCCGGCCUGAGAGGGUGGACGGCCACAUUGGGACUGAGAUACGGCCCAGACGCCGACGGGAGGCAGCAGGGGGGAAUAUUGCACAAUGGGCGCAAGGCGGAUGCAGCGACGCCGCGUGGGGGAUGACGGCCUUCGGGUUGUAAACUCCUUUCGCUAGGGACGAAGCUUUUUGUGACGGUACCUAGAGAAGAAGCACCGGCUAACUACGUG